ACUCCUACGGGAGGCAGCAGUGGGGAAUAUUGCACAAUGGGCGCAAGCCUGAUGCAGCCAUGCCGCGUGUGUGAAGAAGGCCUUCGGGUUGUAAAGCACUUUCAGUUGUGAGGAAGGUGGUGUCGUUAAUAGCGGCAUCAUUUGACGUUAGCAACAGAAGAAGCACCGGCUAACUCCGUGCCAGCAGCCGCGGUAAUACGGAGGGGUGCGAGCGUUAAUCGGAAUUACUGGGGCGUAAAGCGCAUGCAGGUGGUUUGUUAAGUCAGAUGUGAAAGCCCGGGGCUCAACCUCGGAACUGCAUUUGAAACUGGCAGACUAGAGUACUGUAGAGGGGGUAGAAUUUCAGGUGUAGCGGUGAAAUGCGUAGAGAUCUGAAGGAAUACCGGUGGCGAAGGCGGCCCCCUGGACAGAUACUGACACUCAGAUGCGAAAGCGUGGGGAGCAAACAGGAUUAGAUACCCUGGUAGCACAGAG
rnacentral:rRNA from 1 species